CGCACAGCGAAAAGGUGCUUGCAACUUUCAGCGAGUGGCGAACGGGUGAGUAACACGUGGAUAACCUGCCUCAAGGCUGGGGAUAACAUUUGGAAACAGAUGCUAAUACCGAAUAAAACUUAGUAUCGCAUGAUAUCAAGUUAAAAGGCGCUACGGCGUCACCUAGAGAUGGAUCCGCGGUGCAUUAGUUAGUUGGUGGGGUAAAGGCUUACCAAGACGAUGAUGCAUAGCCGAGUUGAGAGACUGAUCGGCCACAUUGGGACUGAGACACGGCCCAAACUCCUACGGGAGGCUGCAGUAGGGAAUCUUCCACAAUGGGCGCAAGCCUGAUGGAGCAACGCCGCGUGUGUGAUGAAGGCUUUCGGGUCGUAAAGCACUGUUGUAUGGGAAGAAAUGCUAAAAUAGGGAAUGAUUUUAGUUUGACGGUACCAUACCAGAAAGGGACGGCUAAAUACGUGCCAGCAGCCGCGGUAAUACGUAUGUCCCGAGCGUUAUCCGGAUUUAUUGGGCGUAAAGCGAGCGCAGACGGUUGAUUAAGUCUGAUGUGAAAGCCCGGAGCUCAACUCCGGAAUGGCAUUGGAAACUGGUUAACUUGAGUGUUGUAGAGGUAAGUGGAACUCCAUGUGUAGCGGUGGAAUGCGUAGAUAUAUGGAAGAACACCAGUGGCGAAGGCGGCUUACUGGACAACAACUGACGUUGAGGCUCGAAAGUGUGGGUAGCAAACAGGAUUAGAUACCCUGGUAGUCCACACCGUAAACGAUGAAUACUAGGUGUUAGGAGGUUUCCGCCUCUUAGUGCCGAAGCUAACGCAUUAAGUAUUCCGCCUGGGGAGUACGACCGCAAGGUUGAAACUCAAAGGAAUUGACGGGGACCCGCACAAGCGGUGGAGCAUGUGGUUUAAUUCGAAGCAACGCGAAGAACCUUACCAGGUCUUGACAUCCUUUGAAGCUUUUAGAGAUAGAAGUGUUCUCUUCGGAGACAAAGUGACAGGUGGUGCAUGGUCGUCGUCAGCUCGUGUCGUGAGAUGUUGGGUUAAGUCCCGCAACGAGCGCAACCCUUAUUGUUAGUUGCCAGCAUUCAGUUGGGCACUCUAGCGAGACUGCCGGUGACAAACCGGAGGAAGGCGGGGACGACGUCAGAUCAUCAUGCCCCUUAUGACCUGGGCUACACACGUGCUACAAUGGCGUAUACAACGAGUUGCCAACCUGCGAAGGUGAGCUAAUCUCUUAAAGUACGUCUCAGUUCGGACUGCAGUCUGCAACUCGACUGCACGAAGUCGGAAUCGCUAGUAAUCGCGGAUCAGCACGCCGCGGUGAAUACGUUCCCGGGUCUUGUACACACCGCCCGUCACACCAUGGGAGUUUGUAAU
rnacentral:rRNA from 1 species